UUGCAUAUAAGAAUUCAUAAGAGAUUCAAAUAAUAUGCAUAGGUAAUCGGAACAUACACUCACAAUUCAUCGGAUCUCGAUAAACACACCGCAAAAGAGUAUUACAUCGGAUAGAUCUCCAUGAAGAUCAUGAAGAACAUGGUAUUGAAGAUCAAAUAGAGAGAAGAAGCCAUCUAGCUACUAGCUAUGGACCCGUAGGUCUGUGGUGAACUACUCACGCAUCAUCGGAGGGGCAAUGGAGUUGAUGUAGAUGACCUCCGUGAUCAAUUCCCUCUCCCAUAGAUUACCGGAAAAGGCUCCCAGAUUGGAUCUCACAGGAACAGAGGCUCUCGGCGGCGGAAAAGUAUUUUCGUGAUUCUGUUUUGCGAUGGAGGAAUAUUUGGGAAUUUAUAGGCCAAAGAAUAGGGUUAGGAGCCCUGCAGGGGACCCACAAGCCAGGGGCGCGGCCACCCCCCUAGGGCGCGCCAUACAGGCUUGUAGCUUCCCGGCAGGUGCCCUGCCACAUACUCCAAGUCUUGUGGGUUUCUUCUGGUCCAAGAAAAAUCAUUCCGGAGAUUUUAUUCCGUUUGGACUCCGUUUAAUAUUCCUUAUCUGCAAUACUCAAAAACAUGGAAAAAACAGAAACUGGCACUAGGCUCUAGAUUAAUAGGUUAGUCCCAAUAAUAAUAUAAAACAACAUAUUAAUGCAUAUAAAAC
rnacentral:lncRNA from 1 species